GAUGAACGCUGGCGGCGUGCUUAACACAUGCAAGUCGAGCGAAGCAUAUAAGCGGAAGUUUUCGGAUGGAAGCAGAUAUGACUGAGCGGCGGACGGGUGAGUAACGCGUGGGUAACCUGCCUCAUACAGGGGGAUAACAGUUAGAAAUGACUGCUAAUACCGCAUAAGCGCACAGGACCGCAUGGUCAAGUGUGAAAAACUCCGGUGGUAUGAGAUGGACCCGCGUCUGAUUAGCUGGUUGGUGAGGUAACGGCCCACCAAGGCGACGAUCAGUAGCCGACCUGAGAGGGUGGCCGGCCACAUUGGGACUGAGACACGGCCCAAACUCCUACGGGAGGCAGCAGUGGGGAAUAUUGCACAAUGGGGGAAACCCUGAUGCAGCAACGCCGCGUGAGUGAAGAAGUAUUUCGGUAUGUAAAGCUCUAUCAGCAGGGAAGAAGGAAGACGGUACCUGACUAGAAGCCCCGGCUAACUACGUGCCAGCAGCCGCGGUAAUACGUAGGGGGCAAGCGUUAUCCGGAUUUACUGGGUGUAAAGGGAGCGUAGACGGCAUAGCAAGUCUGAAGUGAAAGCCCGUGGCUCAACCGCGGAACUGCUUUGGAAACUGUUAAGCUGGAGUACUGGAGAGGCAAGCGGAAUUCCUAGUGUAGCGGUGAAAUGCGUAGAUAUUAGGAGGAACACCAGUGGCGAAGGCGGCUUGCUGGACAGAGACUGACGUUGAGGCUCGAAAGCGUGGGGAGCAAACAGGAUUAGAUACCCUGGUAGUCCACGCGGUAAACGAUGAAUGCUAGGUGUUGGCGGGCAAAGCCCGUCGGUGCCGCCGCAAACGCAUUAAGCAUUCCACCUGGGGAGUACGUUCGCAAGAAUGAAACUCAAAGGAAUUGACGGGGACCCGCACAAGCGGUGGAGCAUGUGGUUUAAUUCGAAGCAACGCGAAGAACCUUACCAAGUCUUGACAUCCCAAUGAAUGUCUGGUAAAGCAGGCAGACCUUCGGGACAUUGGAGACAGGUGGUGCAUGGUUGUCGUCAGCUCGUGUCGUGAGAUGUUGGGUUAAGUCCCGCAACGAGCGCAACCCUUAUCCUUAGUAGCCAGCGAGUGAAGUCGUGCACUCUAGGAAGACUGCCAGGGAGAACCUGGAGGAAGGUGGGGAUGACGUCAAAUCAUCAUGCCCCUUAUGAUUUGGGCUACACACGUGCUACAAUGGCGUAAACAAAGGGAAGCGAAGUGGCGACAUGGAGCGAACCCCAAAAAUAACGUCUCAGUUCGGAUUGUAGUCUGCAACUCGACUACAUGAAGCUGGAAUCGCUAGUAAUCGCGGAUCAGAAUGCCGCGGUGAAUACGUUCCCGGGUCUUGUACACACCGCCCGUCACACCAUGGGAGUCAGUAACGCCCGAAGUCAGUGACCCAACCUAAGGGAGGGAGCUGCCGAAGGCGGGACGGAUAACUGGGGUGAAGUCG
rnacentral:rRNA from 1 species